rnacentral:rRNA from 1 species
CGACCUGGCCCCCGCCGGACAACGAAACUUUUAUACGUGUCGA